rnacentral:rRNA from 1 species
GUGGGGAAUCUUAGACAAUGGGCGCAAGCCUGAUCUAGCCAUGCCGCGUGAGCGAUGAAGGCCUUAGGGUUGUAAAGCUCUUUCAGGGGGGAAGAUAAUGACGGUACCCCCAGAAGAAGCCCCGGCUAACUCCGUGCCAGCAGCCGCGGUAAUACGGAGGGGGCUAGCGUUGUUCGGAAUUACUGGGCGUAAAGCGCACGUAGGCGGAUCGGAAAGUUGGGGGUGAAAUCCCAGGGCUCAACCCUGGAACUGCCUUCAAAACUAUCGGUCUGGAGUCCGAGAGAGGUGAGUGGAAUUCCGAGUGUAGAGGUGAAAUUCGUAGAUAUUCGGAGGAACACCAGUGGCGAAGGCGGCUCACUGGCUCGGUACUGACGCUGAGGUGCGAAAGCGUGGGGAGCAAACAGGAUUAGAUACCCGUGUAGUCC